AAGUUUCAGGCUGGCUCUCCAGGGGGCCACAGCACACGAAAGCGCGUUGUAUACGUUAUUUCCGCACUCCAGGGGCGGCGUAUUUCAGGUCGGUUUCGUGUGCUGCAUUGUUGACGCAUUCAUUCUAUUGGUAUCGCAUGAACCCCAUCGUAAUUAAUCGGCUUCAGCGGAAGCUGGGCUACACUUUUCAUC
rnacentral:sRNA from 1 species